CACGUAGGGGGCGAGCGUUGUUCGGAUUUACUGGGCGUAAAGGGCGCGUAGGCGGCAUGACAAGUCACUUGUGAAAUCUCCGGGCUUAACUCGGAACGGCCAAGUGAUACUGUCAAGCUAGAGUGCAGAAAGGGCAAUCGGAAUUCUUGGUGUAGCGGUGAAAUGCGUAGAUAUCAAGAGGAACACCUGAGGCGAAGGCGGGUUGCUAGGCUGACACUGACGCUGACAGCGCGAAAGCCAGGGGAGCAAACGGG
rnacentral:rRNA from 1 species